GUGCUCGCUUCAGCAGCACAUAUACUAAAAUUGGAACAAUACAGAGAUUAGCAUGACCCCUGCGCAAGGAUGACACGCAAAUUUGUGAAGUGUUCCAUAUUUUU
rnacentral:snRNA from 1 species